ACGCUCGACACCUACGGGGGCAGCAGUGGGGAAUAUUGCACAAUGGGGGAAACCCUGAUGCAGCGACGCCGCGUGGAGGAAGAAGGUCUUCGGAUUGUAAACUCCUGUUGUUGGGGAAAAAGAGGAUGGUACCCAACAAGGAAGUGACGGCUAACUACGUGCCGNGCNCGCCGAGUAUNGNGGCGGNGNGAGAG
rnacentral:rRNA from 1 species